rnacentral:rRNA from 1 species
CCCUUAGAUGUUCUGGGCUGCACGCGCGCUACACUGAAGCUAUCAACACGUUUUCCCUCCCUGAGAAGGGUGGGUAACCUUUUGAAUCAGCUUCGUGGUAGGGAUCGGGGCUUGCAAUUGUUCCCCGUGAACCAGGAAUUCCUAGUAGACGCGAGUCAUAAGCUCGCAUCGAUUAAGUCCCUGCCCUUUGUACACACCGCCCGUCGCUACUACCGAUUGAACGUUUUAGUGAGGCAUUUGGACCGACGCAUCUCAGUUUAACCGCUGGUUUGUGUUGGAAAGACUUCCAAACUUGAGCGUUUAGAGGAAGUAAAAGUCGUAACA